AACCUAAAGGGAACAAACGCCAACAAGAUAAGUGGUUUGUUUAUCUAGAUAGAACAGUCUUGGAUAUCAUAAUGGCAACUGAGGUUCAUUUUUUAAUCCCUAAAUUUAGCAAACCAGUCUAGGCAUUUACUAACACUAAUAUUAUUUCUAUAGAUUGAAAAAUGCAUUGUUGAGGGAACAUUGUAUGCAAUAGAUACAUACUGGACAUGAUAUUAUUUUGGUUGUGUUAAGUGUCACUUCAAGAAGGUGACCAACAUUGCUAAGAAGGAUAUUUUGCCUGUGAAAUAUUUGUGGUAUUGCGAUUCAUGCAAACAUGAAGUUACCAAUGUUGCACCUAAAUAUAUUCCUUACAUCUUAAAAGCCCGAAAAUGCUUAUAAUCUAUUUGACUUACCUAUUUUAUUUAUGAUUUCGGUUUCAGGUGCAUCUAUUAAUAAAGGAUGACACUGGUGAAACUAAGGUGAUAUUGCUUGAUACUAUUGUUGAACCUGUUGUUGGAGUAAGUGCUGAAGUGCUCUUAGAUAGUUCUCUAGAAGAGGUUGAGGAUCCUGAAGAUAUACCUGACUCUAUUAACGAGUUAAUUGGAAAGAUUUUCAAAUUUGGUGUCUAUGUGAGCAAAGACAAUGUUGACUAUGGAUCUCAUAUAUUUAGCAUUGGCAAGACUUGGUCUGCUGAUGAAAUAAUAUCUGAGUCUGACGAAGAGAAUACUGAAGAUACAUUGACUAAUGUUGUUUCAUAUAAUCGUUCAUCAGGAAAGGUUUGUAAUUUUUUGUUUUCUGUUUUUUAAUAUAUAAGAUUA